GCCGGAGUUUUCUCGGAUGAGCGGUGGAGGUUCGAUGUCCAAAAUAUCAAACCGUUCCAUUGAUUUGGAAAGAUCGUCGACUGAGAAGGGAAUGCUGCAAUAAGAUAAGAACAAUGAUGAAAUAGUAAAACAAGUUGUUGUAGUAGUAAUAUAGGAUUCUUGUCCGAAACCUUGAAUCGUCGUCCAGAAGGAACGAACUGCUAACAGCAUUGUUCGAAUCCUCGGUCAUCAACACCCUCAUCCUCGAUAUUACCUGCGAUUAAGUAGUCGCAAAUUGGCAGAGAUUAGUUUGAUAUAUGAAACAGAGUAGAUAAGAUUUUUUGUAGUCGGGAUUCACAUCUGGCGAUAAGCUCUGCGUGCCGUAUUUGUCAUCCCAAUACAUCGUGCUGAUUCGAUAGAGCUGUUGAAUGCUUAGGGCCUGGAAAUGGAUUACAAAAUCAACGAAAUGCGCGGUCCAGAUUCUAUGUUUUUAAGAAAAAUCGUAUUCGAGAAUCUUACAGGACAGAGGUCAUGGCUUAUUUCAUCAAGUGUCUUCUUUGGCUUCUGGUGUAUAACCUGUUUCAGUGUUCGAAAAUUAAAUCGCCUUUCAUUGUAGUCGUUAUGCUUAUCUAGAAAGAUCUAGAAGUCCGAAGAAUACCAGGAACCCGAUCGCCUGUCUAAUAUGCUUUAGCUCGUCCCAAGCAGAUCCUGCAUACUGAAACAUGCCAUAAUUUUUAGUAUAACGAACCUACGAGGGAUGUGUUUAAAUUUUUGUUGCUAUAUCCCUCGUAUUUUUAAAACUGCGUAAAAUUCCCUCGUGAUUUCAUAAACUCUGAGUCUAACCCCUUCAGCGAUUCUUAUUUAAAGUGUUUAACCUACACGCGCCCAAAUUGCGAAUGAAUUUCAAAAUCUCAAUUUUUGAACCCCUAAAAUUGUAUAUAUAUUCAUUACUCUUAUAUUUAGCCUUAAAUAACAGUUAAAAAAAACUCUUAUAACCUGAGAAAAACAACUAUUUUCGAGUAUAUUUACUGUUCUUUGAAACUAAAUAUAAGAUGAAUGAAAAUAACUUGUAAUUUGGGGAGUUUAGGAAUUGAGAUUAUGAAAUUCAUUCGCAAAUUUGGACGCGUGUUUGGCAAAUACGUUAAAUAAGACAGCCAAGGGUUAGACCCAAAAUUUAUGAAACUAUAAGGGAGUUUGGUGUAAUUUCAUGAAAUCACAGGUGCGGAAUAAGGACCGACUCGAAUAUAUAUACCUCGUCAGUUGCCUUGUAACACCAGUGUUCGAGUUCAGCUAAUCCAGCUUUCACGUAUUCCCCGUUGCUGAACGAGCAACAUUCUCGCCUCAGUAGAAGGCUACAAGGAGGUAAAAAAAAUAAAAAUUAGUCGAUAAGUCCAGUUAUGCGCCGGGGAAGUUUCUAGAAGUAAAUUUACGGCACCUGUUGAAUAGCUGGACAUUGAUGAAGGAAAAUAUUUGAGUGAAGACUUUCCUCACCAAAAAUGACGGCACCUGUAGAUCGAUUUCGGAAUGUUCAGGAAAUUCCCGAGGCUGUUUACGAUUCCUUGCCAGUGAGCAAUCAAAAUCUCCUGUGCAGCAGCGCUGGCUGAGACGCGAGCCGCGCCUUUCGACAGUCAGUUGUUGCUUGAAGAGCAGCGCAGGGUAUUUGGCGUCGACUUGGCGCAAGGUGCCGGCAGAAUCGUCGUUCAGUAAAGAAAGAUUUACCCCUUGAGUAGCUGAUGUAGAUCGCCGAUGCUGCGGGGUAGCGCCAGCCGCAACCCCGGCUUUUAGAGUACGUUGAAGCAGGAAAAGAAGCGUCGAUGCGUUGGAGAGCCAAUACGCCAAGAGAUCGUUGUUGUCGCCAGUCUAAGGCCGCGACAGGUCUGCCUCUCGUAAAUCCCAAAUGCUGCGCGAUGCAUCGGAUAACUCCAUCGAUCUUUUCGUGCUUUCGGUCCUCUGGAAAAAUUUCGCGUGAAAAAAGAGUUGAGAGCCUGCUGCCGAAGAACUUUGUUCUCCGAUUCGACGUUGGUUAGCUUCUCCUCGAGCCUGCAAAAGCGAUGAAUCGGGCGUCGGCGUAGAAUCGAAAAGCGUCGAACCGAUCGAAGAAUUUAAGUUGAGCGCGUUGCUUUUCGGAUUCCAGCGAUUCCUGUCGAUCGAAAAUUGUGAAAAACGGAAGCGGAGAUGGCGUGAUUCGAGCAAAAGUAGCACCGGAUUUUCGACCUUCGUUUUCUCCAGUUCUUCGGUAAGAGCCUCGAUCUUUGCUGUAUCCUCAACAGGCACCGGCGUUUCGUGAACUACUGCAGAAGCCUCUUGGAUCGCUUUCUGCGCCGUCUCGCGCUCUUGAAUCAGCGAUGCGUUCGCUUCGUCGAGUUUGCUCUGCAAACCUUCGACUGCACUCUGCAGCUUCGCCACUUCCUGCGUCCUCUCCUCUUCCAAGUCGGCCUGCGCAAGAAAUCGAUUAGAACACAAUUUGCGCCAACAAUACGACGCUCGAUUUUCACUUGAGUGUAAGUUUCUACCCUUCGUCGUUUCUCGAGCUGCAGGCGCAGCGUCAGGUCUUCGACCUGCUUUUCGAGCUUAUCCUUCGCUUCCUUAAGUGCGCCGGUCUCUCUCGCAGCCUGCAAAUGUUCGAAGUUUUUAUUAUAAGCUAAUUACGACACGCGUGAAUGUUGUUAAAAUUAUGGACGAGUUAUUGUAAUAUGUUGGCCGGUAACCAUAAGAUCACUGGUUCAAAUUCUGCCAAUAAUACCUGAUUAGCCGAGUCUGUCACCUAGGACUAUUGUGCUCGGCCUAUAGAUUCAAUUUACCUAUACAUACUCGAACAGUAGCAUCUGCAAAUUUCUACGUUAUCGAAUCAUGCCAAGUGUCUUUUUAGCUGAGACUGUCACCCAUGACUUAUCUAGGGUGGCUUUAUCGGCUGGCAUGAUUUUGAAAUGUAUUGUGCUCA